rnacentral:tRNA from 1 species
GGAGAGGUGGAUGAGCGGUUUAAGUCACCACCCUGGAAAGGUGGCACAGGGGCAACUCUGUCGAGGGUUCGAAUCCCUCCCUCUCCGCCA